rnacentral:rRNA from 1 species
AGGAUUAACGCUGGCGGUGUGCCUAAUACAUGCAAGUCGAACGGACCUUUAUUUUUGAGAACUCCCUUAUAGGAUGUCUCAUAAAUAAUGGUUAGUGGCGGACGGGUGAGUAACACGUUGGUACCUGCCCUCUAGUGGGGAAUAACUGGCCGAAAGGUCGGCUAAUACCGCAUGUGAUCGCAAGAUCAAAGCAGCAAUGCGCUAGAGGAGGGGCCUGCGUCUGAUUAGCUAGUUGGUAGUGUAAUGGACUACCAAGGCGACGAUCAGUAGCUGGUUCGAGAGGAUGACCAGCCACACUGGGACUGAGAUACGGCCCAGACUCCUACGGGAGGCAGCAGUAAGGAAUCUUCCACAAUGGAC